rnacentral:rRNA from 1 species
GACGAACGCUGGCGGCGUGCUUAACACAUGCAAGUCGAGCGGUAAGGCCCUUUCGGGGGUACACGAGCGGCGAACGGGUGAGUAACACGUGGGUGACCUGCCCUCAGCUCUGGGAUAAGCCUGGGAAACCGGGUCUAAUACCGGAUAUGACUCCAUGACGCAUGUUGUGGGGUGGAAAGCCUUGUGCGGCUGAGGAUGGGCCCGCGGCCUAUCAGCUUGUUGGUGGGGUGAUGGCCUACCAAGGCGACGACGGGUAGCCGGCCUGAGAGGGUGUUCGGUCACACUGGGACUGAGAUACGGCCCAGACUCCUACGGGAGGCAGCAGUGGGAGAUUUUGCACAAUGGACGAAAGUCUGAUGCAGUGACGCCGCGUGGGGAUGACGGCCU